rnacentral:rRNA from 1 species
GUAGGUGGCAAGCGUUGUCCGGAAUUAUUGGGCGUAAAGCGCGCGCAGGCGGUUCUUUAAGUCUGAUGUGAAAGCCCACGGCUCAACCGUGGAGGGUCAUUGGAAACUGGGGGACUUGAGUACAGAAGAGGAAAGCGGAAUUCCAAGUGUAGCGGUGAAAUGCGUAGAGAUUUGGAGGAACACCAGUGGCGAAGGCGGCUUUCUGGUCUGUAACUGACGCUGAGGCGCGAAAGCGUGGGGAGCAAACAGGGAUUAGAUACCCUGGUAGUCCACGCCGUAAACGAUGAGUGCUAAGUGUUAGGGGGUUUCCGCCCCUUAGUGCUGCAGCUAACGCAUUAAGCACUCCGCCUGGGGAUACGGCCGCAAGGCUG